rnacentral:rRNA from 1 species
AUGUGGGAGGAAUGCUUGCCUCAUAUUGAAUUUGCUUAUAAUCGUUCAUUGCAUUCUACUACUAAGAUGUGUCCUUUUGAAGUUGUGUAUGGUUUCCUACCUCGUGCACCUAUUGAUUUGUUGCCUCUUCCAUCUUCGGAGAAGGUUAAUUUUGAUGCUAAACAACGUGCUGAAUUGAUUUUAAAAAUGCAUGAGUUAACUAAGGAAAACAUUGAGCGGAUGAAUGCUAAAUAUAAACUUGCUGGAGAUAAGGGUAGAAAACAUGUUGUGUUUGCACCUGGAGAUCUUGUUUGGUUACAUUUGCGUAAGGAUAGAUUUCCUGAUUUGCGCAAAUCAAAGCUAAUGCCACGUGCUGAUGGUCCCUUUAAGGUGUUAGAGAAAAUAAAUGAUAAUGCAUAUAAACUUGAGCUGCCUGCAGAUUUUGGGGUUAGUCCCACUUUUAACAUUGCAGAUUUGAAGCCUUAUUUGGGUGAGGAAGAUGAACUUUCGUCGAGGACGACUUCAUUUCAAGAAGGGGAGGAUGAUGAGGACAUCAAUACAAUUGUUACACCCACAGCCCCUGCUGCUAGACAUACUGGACCAAUUACUAGAGCUCGUGCACGCCAACUAAAUUACCAGGAAACAGACCCUCGUGGUCAGGUUGAUCGUGCUCCGGCGUGGUCAAUAACCUCUCGGAGUUGGUUUAGCGAUUGCUAA